rnacentral:rRNA from 1 species
ACAUUACUACUUGGGUAACCGUGGUAAUUCUAGGGCUAAUACAUGCUGAAAACCCCGACUUCGGAAGGGGUGUAUUUGUCAGAUUCAGAACCAAUGCCCCCUGGGCUCCUUGGUGAUUCAUGAUAACUGCUCGAAUCGCAUGGCCUUGCGCCGGCGAUGGCUCAUUCAAAUUUCUUCCCUAUCAACUUUCGAUGUUUGGGUAGUGGCCAAACAUGGUUACAACGGGUAACGGAGGGUUAGGGCUCGACCCCGGAGAAGGAGCCUGAGAAACGGCUACUACAUCCAAGGAAGGCAGCAGGCGCGCAAAUUACCCAAUCCCGACACGGGGAGGUAGUGACAAUAAAUACUGAUACAGGGCUCUUUUGGGUCUUGUAAUUGGAAUGAGUACAAUUUAAAUCCCUUAACGAGGAACAAUUGGAGGGCAAGUCUGGUGCCAGCAGCCGCGGUAAUUCCAGCUCCAAUAGCGUAUAUUAAAGUUGUUGUGGUUAAAAAGCUCGUAGUUGAACCUUGGGCCUGGCUGGCCGGUCCGCCUCACCGCGUGCACUGGUCCGGCCGGGUCUUUCCCUCUGUGGAACCCCAUGCCCUUCGCUGGGCGUGGCGGGGAAACAGGACGUUUACUUUGAAAAAAUUAGAGUGCUCCAGGCAGGCCUAUGCUCGAAUACAUUAGCAUGGAAUAAUGAAAUAGGACGUGCGGUUCUAUUUUGUUGGUUUCUAGGACCGCCGUAAUGAUUAAUAGGGACAGUCGGGGGCAUCAGUAUUCAAUUGUCAGAGGUGAAAUUCUUGGAUUUAUUGAAGACUAACUACUGCGAAAGCAUUUGCCAAGGAUGUUUUUCAUUAAUCAGGAACGAAAGUUAGGGGAUCGAGGACGAUCAGAUACCGUCGUAGUCUUAACCAUAAACUAUGCCGACUAGGGAUCGGACGAUGUUAUUUUUUUGACUCGUUCGGCACCUUACGA